GCAGUGCACAUUUAUAGUAUGCAAGUUAACGAUUUCUUUAGUACUUCUCUAUUGACGAUCAUGCGUUCAUCUAACAGAAUGGGCACAUUCCAAAUGUAAUAGUGAACAGGAAACUUAAAUUACUAUACUAUACUUGACAUUUUACACAUCGUUUUUAGAAUCAAGCAACGGGAUUAAAAGAGAAAUCAAUUCAUUGUCAACUAUAAUUUAUAACAUUAGCAAACAAUAUCUGGACGAGCAAAGAAUGGGAUCCCAGACACGAUUGUAUGCUGUAUAAACUGGGCUUCAAAAGAUCGUAAAAGGUAUCAGAUACCACAUAAAGUCAAUUAUAAAAAGAUUAGGGAAUGCCUUUGGUACCUAAUCUUUUUUAGCAUAGCCAACACACUCCGUAACGUCGACAGCGUCUUUGCGGUGUUUAUUGCGAAUGACACCCUCAAAUUCUUUAGUUUCAGUCUUAUAUAUCAAAUCCCAUCUGCCGAUGAAAUCGAAUCCAUUGACAUUGCGAACCUUGGCUUGAUAUCCUCUACGUUCUUCAGGACUCAUAUUAACAUAUUUAUGAUAUUCAGGAGCACCAGGUGUUAUAAUAUUAUCGGCCACUAGAAGGGUUCCCGGAGCAAUCAUAUUAAGUGAUUCAAUAACCCUCAAGUCAGGCACAUAAAGGUCCUUCCAGUGGUCGAUAAAUACCAUGUCCAAAGCUUGAAAACCAAGGUCUUUAUGCAAUAAUUUCUGUUGCAGUUCGACCAAACUGUCGCAAGCCUUGCCAAUCAUGAUGGUGACUAUUUCAUCCAGACCGGCCAACUUAACCAACUCGUAAGCAAUCUUGGCAUAAUCCUCAUUCACUUCCAAGCUGUAAUAACGACCACCAGGAAUUUUGGAGAUUUCAUUUCCAAACAAAAUAGCUGAGUAGCCCAAAUAGCCGCCUAACUCAACCAUGAUUUUCGGCUUCCGUUCACGAAUUUUCCCAACGAUAAAUCCACCUUUAACAUCUCCUAUACACAUUCUCACUCCAGAUCCGUCUGGAUACGUGAAUUCAUCGAUUUCCUUAAGAACCAACUCAGGAUGCCCGCGAAUCGCAUCCAAGCGCUCUUGAGGCAGAUUUUGAAUGUGUUGCAGAAACAGCUGUUCCUUUUCACUACCGUUGUCUUCCAUAUGAGGCAUGAUUUCAAAUUUCGAAAGGUUGGUUAAAAGUUGAUUUUCAGCUCUGCAUACGCAAUACCAUGCACUUUAUAUAGUUACGAGGGAUGGAAUGUUGCUGAAUUCGAUGCACCUCGUAUGUUGUCACUACGCCACGCAUCUUUACAAACUACCCACCGUAUCAUAGGACAUCUAGCACAUCUAGAGACCGAGGCUCGGUGAGUCAAGACCCUUAUGUUACAGCAGUACCUUUAUACUUUGCGCCAUAUGGAAACUUUGGACUUUGAGGCAACAGAAUAGCAGACUACACUGCGUUGCACUGAAGGAAUUGUGAAAUAUAUUGAAACAAAACAGUGUUUCUGUAAACAUAGAUCCGCAAGUAUAUGAUUUUACACUAUUUGAUUUUGGGUGAAACAUCAACGCAAUUACAACGUAUCGUUAUAGUUUAAUAACAGACUGUAUUGAAUAAUCGAUAUUGUUCGUUAUGUGAUAAACAUUUCGAGUGCAAAUGUACCGGAUCUAGAAACAUCAGAUUCAUCUGUAUGUACUGCAUAAAUUUAUUU